CCAUCCCCUAGGGAAAUAACAAGUGUAUAAUUACGCUAAACAUUCAAAACAGAUUUAAAGACAGGGUUUUUUUUUUUUUUUUUUGGUUUAAGGCCUAUAUGUUUUAAUUACUUGAGGUCCUUGAAUAGUCUUCUCUGAAAAAACAUAAAAUAUUAUUAUUACACAUAUAUUCAAAAUAUAAGGUUACUCUGCCACUUACUGUAAGUCAAGUAAUAAAGUAGCUGGAAUCGGUUUGGUUGUUUUUGAGAUCUACAUUAUAAAGGGGAUAGCAGGGUGUUAGUGAGGAAAUAGCUCAUAGGCCUCUUCUAUUGCUGCGUAGGCUGACCAAAAUGAAGAAUGACAACAUCUGAACAGGUGUCUUUCUUGACUGGGUAGUCCCUCAACCGGUGCAGGGAGAACCAGUUAAUAUAGACUAAGGGUUUAGGGACACGUCUUGAAACAAGAGUUGAAGGAAAGUUUAAUUAAUAUAGUGUCCCCAAAUUUUUAAGGCCCUUUGAUAUAUUUUUUAACAUAAUCUCUUAAGCAAUUCAUUCUUUGAUAAAUUUAUAAAUUAUCCUUGUUUCCUAAAGCAGAGAUUUGUAACCUAGAAUCCAAAAUUGUACGUAUUUGCGAUUUUCUGAAAAGAGUUCUAGAAUUCAUUAGCUAUCAAAGGAGUCUGAGUUCCCCCAACCUCCCACUCCCCCAAAAUUAGUAACUACACUUCCAUAGCAACAACCUGUACAUGAAAUAAUCAACAGUUUUUCCAGUUGAGAAACAUUUGGUUGUAAACCCAGGGCUCCAUUAUUUUAGAUCACUGCUAUACCAUUAUUUUUUAUGUACUGUAUUCUGAAACUGUUCUUUAAUUUCCUAUCUGACUGCCUCCCAGGAAAGGGUGGCAAUUAAAGAUUCCCGGGAGAACCUGCUAUUUCAGCCUCCCACCUCCUGUAACUGUGGGGGCCUAUUUUCUAUUGGAGCAUAUUAGAAGCAAUGCUCCAGGGGCUUCUUACCAGAAGCAGAAAUGGAGCCUGGUAACAUCCAGGAGACUUGGGAUAGAGUCCCAGAUCUGCCCCUGACUCCAGUAAUUGUGAAGAUACCCAUCCUCUUAAGACCCUUAGUUUUCAUUUAGCCAAACAUAGUACUUGCUAUUACUGUUGUGACAAUGUUAUUAAGAUAACAGAUGAGAAAUUUGCUUUAUAAAUGUAAAGUAUUAUUCCUAUUAUUCUUAUAUUAGGAUACCAGAGAUAUUUAUCUUUAAAAAUAAACAGUGAUCAACAAAACAGGUUCAUCUCACUAGGAACAAUAAUUUGCUUUUCCCCCCUCAUCUCUCCUUUCUCCUCUAUCUCAGCUUGAUCUCAAAAAGGAUAAAAAACCUGAAGCAUUAUCUACCUGUUUGUCUUUCUGUUGGCUUCGAUCUCCUGAUGGCCAGAGUCUCCAGGAAUCAUUGUCAAUAACAUCAGCAAGAACAAUUUCUUUGGUGGUUACAUCAACACCAAAUUCAAUCUGGAAACAGCAUGUCAACAAAGUUUUCAAAAACUAUUCUAUGAAAGCAUCUCUCAACUAUAACCUUUACUUUCAAAUCCUAUUGUUUUAUCUGUACCUUCAUAUCAACCAGUGUACAAUUCUGGGGCAACCAGGAUUUCUCCAGUAUUUCAAAUAUAGCCUGUGUAGCAUGACUCAUAAUAUCCACUUCAGUCUGGCCUAUGACAAGUCCAGCAAAGCAAAAUUUUGCAGCAAUCAGCUGUUCCUCAGACCACUGUGGGUCAUUAUUGGCAUCAUCCUGUGAAUAAAGUAUAGUAGUACAAUUAACUUAAAUCUAGAAUUUUUAAAGUUUUCAGAAAAACCAACAUCCUUUUCACUUGAGCAUGAACUCCUUGGAAAUUUUCAGCCACGGUCGGGCAUGGCGGCUCACGCCUGUAAUCCCAGCACUUUGGGGGGCUGAGGUGGGCGGAUCACAAGGUCAGGAGUUCGAGACCAGCCUGGCCAACAUAGUGAAACCCUGUCUACUAAAAAUACAAAAAAUUAGCUGGGUGUACACCUGUAAUCCUAGUCACUUGGGAGGCUGAGGCAGAAGAAUCAUUUUAACCCAGGAGGUGGAGGUUGCAGUGAGCUGAGAGAGCACUACUGCACUCUAGCCUAGGCAACAGAGGGAGAUUUCGUCUCAAAAAAAAAAAAAAAAGAAAAAGAAAGAAAUUUUGAGCCAGGUGCAAUGGCUCACACUGUAGUCCCAGUAAUUUAGGAGGCUGAGGCAGGAGGAUCGCUUGAGCCUAGGAGUUCAAGAGCAGCCUGGGCAACAGAAUGAGACAUCUAAAGAAAUUUUUUGUUUAUGAUACUCCUUAAUUCAAAGCAAUUAUUACUCCUCUUUUUUUUCCUAGUUAGCUCCUGCAAGCAGAAAAAACUAUUACUCUUAAUUUGUUUACUCUCAAUAGCACUUUAAAAUUCAAAGUAUUUAGGUGAGUAACUUAUUCUAGGUCACAAAGUAUUUCAAAGAAUUUAACCUCUAUAAGCCAAUUUAAACAGAAUUUAAGUUUGUGAUUUUUGUUUUUCCUUAAUAACAGUCAUCAGACAUGACAGGAAGGCCAAAGCACAUUUUAAUCAAUCAAAUCUUUCCAAAACCACAGUUCUCAUAACCUUCUGACCUCACUUUUUAUUAGCAUUUAUACAGCACUGUAAUUUUUUAGGGACAUUAUUUGAUAAUUCAAGAGACCUCAGACAAAGAGGUAAGUGAAAAAAAUGAAAGAAUUUCAUUUUAUUCUAAGCAGUGUCCCAACUUUAUAUGACAAUAUCUUUAUAAAUUCUUGAUCUAUAUAAUCAUAAUACACACAAGUUACAUAACUCAUUGAUUAAAAAGCAACACUGAUGUUGCUUCCCAAGCAGAUCUAUGCUUAACAGCAUAAAUCAAGAUGGUUAAAGCAGUAAAGCCUACAAAAAUUCAUAACCAAUGAUUCUUACAACCUUUAUUUAUAUAUUUUCACUUAUAAGAGACAUUGUUAGUAUAGUUUUCCUGUAUUAGAAUAUAAAAAGAUUUCAACUAAAUUUUAACAAAAUUAAUUAAAUGUUACCUUUCUCUUCUUCCUGUUAGUCAUCUUGGUUCAAAGGGAAAGUUUUCAGAUGCUUUCUUUUUAAAAUUUGAUUUAUCAUUGCUAAUGGAAGUGUACAUUAUUGACACUGGCAACUAGAUAAGACAAAUUUUGGAAUGACAUUUGCAAUAUCAAAAUAUCAAAAACUUUGCUUGCAUAU